rnacentral:lncRNA from 10 species
GAGCGGGCGCGGAGGGAGGCUCCGGGCGGCUCACCGAUGGUAGUGAUGACGGUGAUGGCGAAGUAGAAGGAGCCGGGGAACUUCCACUGGCGGCCGGCGCGGUGGGGCUCAGCCUGGAGCGCCAGGCGCUCCAGCUCGCGGUAGUCCUCGGCCGAGAAGCCGAACUUCCUCCGGAGAGCGCCCCGCUUCUGGACCAGCAGUCGCUGGCGGCCGCUUUCCGCCUCGGACUCGAGCGCGUCGAAGACAGCAGCGCCCACCAGCAGAUGCAGAGAACCCAAAGCCCUGCAGGAUGGCAAAGCUGCAACAUGGAAGUCACCCGGAUCACCACGUAAAGGAAAUCUCUCCAACCAGGAACAAACACCUGCCUUGCAAUAUUAGGUCCUUCCUAGGGCUUGGUGCAUGUGCAUAUCUCCUUCCGGAAUCCUGGUCAAUACUAAGGUGUCUGCCUCCUGCCCCGGUCCACAGCCAGGAGCCCCGGAGCCAACGGCCAGCCUGGAAGACUUACAGUUCUCCCUCUGAGGGUUGCUGUGGCUUUCCAUGUUGUGGUGACUAAGUCCCUGUGUUUCUGUGCAGUCCCUGCUUCCUGGGACCAGGGAAGAAUGGUCCCGUACCCGCUAUUCUGACCUCUGUGGCCACUGAUUAGUUGUUCCUGAAAGGAACAGUUUUAAGCCACUUCUAUCUCUGAGGCAAGAAGGAAGACGGGAGAAAUGAGGAGGUGUGAGGAAGAGAGUUGG